CGGGCCGUAGUAUACCGGUCGUACACAUCCUUCGGGAGGAUGGAGACCCAGUUCGAUUCUGGGCGGCCCGA
rnacentral:tRNA from 1 species